CUUCCACGGAGGCCUCGUGUAGGCCGCAGUGAAGCCUGAACUCGAGUAGGGCCCAAGCCAGCCAGGAAGGAGGAGGCAGCCAGAGUGUUCUCUGCAGCAGAAGACCCCUUGCUGCCCUGCUUAACCCAGACCAGCAUUUGCCAGUUUGAAAGAAUUCACAAGCAAACCAGCAUCCUGUGGACAAGUUACCAAAUAUUGGGGGAAUCACAGGACAUGCCAUUAACUAAACUGCAAAUUUGCUUAAAGUAGUUAUAAGCAGGAACCAAGCAUGACUGAGGAGCAAAUCCUGAGAGAAGCACAUGUGCGGGCACAUACACGGGGAAGUGAAGAAGGAACUGAGUAAAAGGGUACUCUAUCAAAGCUACUGAGUGCGUUUGACAGACACGCAAAGGGCAGAGCUACAGAGUCUUGGGGAGCUUGAAAAUCCUUGCACAUAACCCAUGUUGUAAAGGAUACUGGAUCGCUACAAAGAUCACCUACUUAAAUAUUAGUUGGGAUGCUGAACUCCUGAAUGCAUGAUACUGUUUUUUUUUAAACUACAGAUAUAGGGAGGGUCAUAGUUCAGUGACAGAGUACAUAUUUUGAAUGCAGGAAGUCCUAGGUUCAAUCUUUAGCAUCUCUAGGUAAAGCUGAGAAAUAUUCCUUUCUGAAACCGUGGAGAACCACUACCAUCCAAUGUACACAAUACUGACUUAAGGUGGACCAAUGACCUGAUUCUGUAUAAAAGCAGCUUCAUAUGUUUAUCCAUAUGUACAAACUUUUUAGGCGGGGGCAGGGGGAAGACACAUUAAAUAGUAACUCCACAACUUUCGCAAAAAGUUGCCAAGUCUACACUCAACCCUUAAUAAGAAAAGAGGGGGAAGGUUACUCUUCUCUCAAAAUUAAAUGAGGGGAAAUUUUAAA